AGAUGUGGAUGAUGAUAACAAAAGUAAAAUACAGUUAUCCCUGUCUGAUUCCUUCACAAGGGUGCUGAGAAUACUUUGAAACUGACACAUUG
rnacentral:snoRNA from 1 species